rnacentral:rRNA from 1 species
AAACCGUUCAGGGGUAAACCUGAGAAACCCAAAAGAUCGAAUGGGGAGAUUCAACAUCAACGGUGCUGGCUCCCGUUGGUGCGCGAUGCCACGAAUGGGACUUUGUUCCACGGCGAGGGCACACCACCUUCGGCUUGAAUGUUCCGGCACCGUAGGCGUGCACUUCUCCCCUAGUAGAACGUCGCGACCCGUUGCGUGUCGGUCUACGGCCCGAGUGGGCGCCUGACACGUCGCUUUGUGCGUCCGCGUCAGACCCUCGGUCGCCUGGCCGGCUGCGCGACGGUACUCGCACGGUAUUGGGCCGCAACCAAUCCAUUUUCGAAUGUAUGUGCGUCAGGCCCGCCGCAAGCUCGUUCAGUUCUUACCCGGAGGUACGGACCUCGUGCCGUCCCCGGGCCUGGCAAGCUGUUAGCAGGCGGUGUACUCGGACUGGCCAAGCCUUGAAUUACCGGUCGGCGACGCUAUUGCUUUGGGUACUCUCAGGACCCGUCUUGAAACACGGACCAAGGAGUCUAACAUGUGCGCGAGUCAUUGGGAUAUAUAAACCUAAAGGCGAAAUGAAAGUGAAAGUCGGCCUCCGUGCCGAUCGAGGGAGGAUGGGCCGCGUUACCAUGCGGCCCCGCACUCCCGGGGCGUCUCGUUCUCAUUGCGAGAAGAGGCGCACCUAGAGCGUACACGUUGGGACCCGAAAGAUGGUGAACUAUGCCUGGUCAGGACGAAGUCAGGGGAAACCCUGAUGGAGGUCCGUAGCGAUUCUGACGUGCAAAUCGAUCGUCGGAACUGGGUAUAGGGGCGAAAGACUAAUCNAA